AUGUAUGUGCCAUGCCCUCAUAACCCUGAAGUUAUAUGCGAAGCACUACAUCAAGUCCUCGUCGAGUGGCAUCUUGAGAGGAAGAUAUCUACAGUGACUCUUGACAAUUGUGCGGCAAAUGAUAAAGCUAUUUGGAAUAUGGAAGAUAAGUUGGAUUCUAACUCUCUUAUGUUGCAAGGCAAGCUAAUCCAUAUGCGUUGUUGUGCACAUAUAUUAAAUUUGAUUGUUCAAGAUGGAAUGAGUGUCUUGAAAGAAGGUAUAGAGAGGGUCCGUGAUAGUUUUGCUUAUUGGUCAGCCACACCAAAGAGGCAUGAAAGGUUUGAAAAGAUGGCACGGACUCUGAACAUUCCAUACACUAGAAAGAUUGGACUUGAUUGUAAAACACGAUGGAACUCAACUUAUCUCAUGCUUAGCACUACAUUGCAAUAUCAAGAAUUUUUUUAUCGUCUAAGUUGA
rnacentral:rRNA from 1 species